rnacentral:rRNA from 1 species
GAUGAACGCUGGCGGCGCGCCUAAUACAUGCAAGUCGAGCGAACAGACGAGGAGCUUGCUCCUCUGACGUUAGCGGCGGACGGGUGAGUAACACGUGGAUAACCUACCUAUAAGACUGGGAUAACUUCGGGAAACCGGCGCUAAUACCGGAUAAUAUAUUGAACCGCAUGGUUCAAUAGUGAAAGACGGUUUUGCUGUCACUUAUAGAUGGAUCCGCGCCGCAUUAGCUAGUUGGUAAGGUAACGGCUUACCAAGGCAACGAUGCGUAGCCGACCUGAGAGGGGGAUCGGCCACACUGGAACUGAGACACGGUCCAGACUCCUACGGGAGGCAGCAGUAGGGAAUCUUCCGCAAGGGGCGAAAGCCGGACGGAGCAACGCCGCGUGAGUGAUGAAGGUCUUCGGAGCGUAAAACUCUGUUAUUAGGGAAGAACAAAUGUGUAAGUAACUAGGCACGUCUUGACGGUACCUAAUCAGAAAGCCACGGCUAACUACG